rnacentral:rRNA from 1 species
GCCAUUAAAGCUAGGACUUGGACCUGCGGAAGAUCAUUA